rnacentral:rRNA from 1 species
GACGAACGCUGGCGGCGUGCUUAACACAUGCAAGUCGAACGGACAGGCCCUGCUUUUGUUGGUUGCUCGAGUGCCGAACGGGUGUGUGACACGUGAGUAACCUCCCCUUGACUUUGUGAUAACUUCUCGGAACUGGGGCUCAUACCCGAUAUGAUCUCCUGCUGCAUGGUGGGGGUUGGAAAGUUUCGGCGGUUGGGGAUGGACUCGCGGCUUAUCAGCUUGUUGGUGUGGUAGUGGCUUACCAAGGCUUUGACGGGUAGCCGGCCUGAGAGGGUUACCGGCGACAAUGGGACUGAGAUACGGCCCAGACUGCUAAGGGAGGCAGCAGGGGAGAAUAUUGCAGAAUGGGCGGAAGCCUGAGGUAGCAACGCCGCGUGCGGGAAGACGGGCUUUGGGUGAUAAACAGCUGUCGACGGUGACGAAGCGGGAGUGACGGUAAUGGGUAAAGAAGCACCGGCUAACUACGUG